GAAACUCAAAGGAAUUGAGGGGCCCGCACAAGCGGUGAGCAUGUGGUUUAAUUCGACGCAACGCGAAGAACUUACCAGGGCUUGACAUCCCCUGACCGCGUAUGAAAGUACGUUUCACCCUCGGGUGACAGGGAGACAGGUGGUGCAUGGUUGUCGUCAGCUCGUGUCGUGAGAUGUUGGGUUAAGUCCCGCAACGAGCGCAACCCCUAUUGUUAGUUGCCAUCAUUCAGUUGGGCACUCUAGCGAGACUGCCGGUAAUAAACCGGAGGAAGUGGGGAUGACGUCAAAUCAUCAUGCCCCUUAUGACCUGGGCUACACACGUGCUACAAUGGUUGGUACAACGAGUUGCGAGUCGGUGACGGCGGGCUAAUCUCUUAAAGCCAAUCUCAGUUCGGAUUGUAGGCUGCAACUCGCCUACAUGAAGUCGGAAUCGCUAGUAAUCGCGGAUCAGCACGCCGCGGUGAAUACGUUCCCGGGCCUU
rnacentral:rRNA from 1 species